CCAACAGUCUUUUUCAAGACUACACACCCUCAAAAAAGAUUACCG
rfam:Strongylocentrotus purpuratus Contig26205_fixed, whole genome shotgun sequence.